rnacentral:rRNA from 1 species
GACGAACGCUGGCGGCGUGCUUAACACAUGCAAGUCGAACGGGAAGAAAAAGAAGAGCUUGCUCUUUUUUUGGAUUCUAGUGGCAAACGGGUGAGUAACACGUAAACAACCUGCCUUCAGGAUGGGGACAACAGACGGAAACGACUGCUAAUACCGAAUACCUUCCAAUUUCCGCAUUGGAGAUAGGAAGAAACGGGUGGCCUCUACUUGUAAGCUAUCGCCUGAAGAGGGGUUUGCGUCUGAUUAGCUAGUUGGUGAGGUAACGGCCCACCAAGGCGACGAUCAGUAGCCGGUCUGAGAGGUUGAACGGCCACAUUGGGACUGAGAUACGGCCCAGACUCCUACGGGAGGCAGCAGUGGGGAAUAUUGGGCAAUGGGCGCAAGCCUGACCCAGCAACGCCGCGUG